rnacentral:rRNA from 1 species
CAGUAGCCGCGGUAAUACGUAGGUGGCAAGCGUUGUCCGGAAUUAUUGGGCGUAAAGGGCUCGCAGGCGGUUUCUUAAGUCUGAUGUGAAAGCCCCCGGCUCAACCGGGGAGGGUCAUUGGAAACUGGGAAACUUGAGUGCAGAAGAGGAGAGUGGAAUUCCACGUGUAGCGGUGAAAUGCGUAGAGAUGUGGAGGAACACCAGUGGCGAAGGCGACUCUCUGGUCUGUAACUGACGCUGAGGAGCGAAAGCGUGGGGAGCGAACAGGAUUAGAUACCGAGUAGUCCCUGUCUCUUAUACA